UUCCUGGUGGUCCAGUGGUUAAGACUCAGCACUUUAAUUGCCAUGGGCCCAGGUUUGAUUCCUGACCAGGGAA
rfam:Ovis aries breed Texel chromosome 8, whole genome shotgun sequence.